rnacentral:lncRNA from 1 species
GGCAGUGUCGGCACCCACUGGUUGUUCCUCUUUGCCUUCUGUUCUCUGAGGUAGGUGGGAGGUUCUGUGCUGAUAGACACCGCCUUGUAUUUCUCAUCAUUUCCAUCCAAGAUCUCUUCCACUUCAGAGGCCUUUAACAGUGUCACGCUGGUGGCUAAUGUUGUAUAUCCAUGAUAUCUUCUGGGACUGUGAGACCGCUGAUUUUCAUGUGAAGAUGCCACUAUCUUCUUCCUUUCUUCCACUGUGGCUAGUCGUCUCCAGAGUGAGGGAUACCUCUUGUACAGCGAGCCCCGGAACAUACGCAGGUAGUUCCCCACCUCGGAGCCGAUCAUAUAGAACUCGCCGUCCUCCUCCAGCUGGAACUUGACGGGCUUCUGCCCAAAAGUUUUGCUCAGCGCCAUCAUCAUCAUCGCGGCGGCCUGGCGGGGCUCCGGCGGCGCUGAGGGGAGCGGGGCGCAGCGAGAGGGGCAGCGCCGCGGCCUACUCGGCUGCUGCUCUGCGCAUGCGCCGGGCGCCGCCCAGAGCUCUCGUUCCCGCCCACCCGACGCGCGGCGGCGGCGCUGAGGGGAGGCGGGCGGCAGGUAGAAAAGAGGCGCUUUAUUGGUGAGAUCAGUCUUGUCCCAGCGUCCCCCGGAAAGGACGAAGCGUUUCUGCCGGUUGCGCCCGUUCUGGCCAUCCGGCAGCACCGGGAGGUCCGGCACACCACAACGGGGUGGGUUCCAGCGUGCUGCCUGCUCAUCUGCACCCAUGGGGAAGCCCUUGGCAGGCACACCAGUGCCCACCAGAGAUGAAAGCCAGGGACUCUGCUCCUUCCAGGUGUGAUGUUUUCGAGACAUGUCCUGAAAGAGAAAAGCAAAGCUGUCACUUCUGUGUCUGGGAUAUGAGAGGUCUUGAUGGACGGAUGGACAUCUACAAACAGCACAUCUGCAGAGGGCCAGGAGGCACCAGGCAGCCACUCCAAGGCACAAGGGGAGGAGGAGUGAAGAUGGACUCCAGGGAAAGCCCUCAUUGUGGAACUGGGACGGGAGCUACCCAGGAUAACCCACAGUCAGGGAUGCUGAAUGUACACAGGAACAGGCAGCUUUCUGCUGGGGAAGAAGCCAAGGCUUUGCGAUGGAGACUGAGCAGCAAAAUUUCUACAAGUGCAGAGAGGCUGCCAGGCCUGAAACCCAGAGCAGAGAAGAGCAGAGGAACAAAACUGUACACAAAGAGGACUGUGCAGAGAAAGUAUCUCUUCCUGACAUUCUUGUGACCAAAAGGCUGAGGGGGAACUGGAGGAAACGGACAGAUCCCAUGGGAGAGCAGAAACCACCAUGGAGGUGCUGACUGCCCACUCGGUUCCUUCCAGCUGUCUCAGUACUCAAAUUCUGUGACACAACAUACAUCUCUCUGGCUCUGCUGGGGCCAGAUGAACAUCAGCCAAACUUCCCAGGAAGUGUCCCAGCCAUCCCGAGGAGCCAGGAGCAUCUUUAACCUCAUUGUGUUGGGCAGCACUCGUCCCCCAGAAAGAGAAGCAGCCAGAGCAGCACAGCUACAAUGGAUGUAUAAAAAACCUCAAGAGCAGGGCCGCUGCCUGGUACAGACAACUCCAGUGCUCUCCUCUUCCAUCCUCUGCUGCCUGCCCUGAACUUAAACUUGUCUUUUCUGUCAUGCACCUAAUUACCUCCACGGCUGGGCUUCUGCUGACUCCUACAGCACAGACAUGAAAGGAGACCCCCCUCCCUGUCAGAUGGGAGGGACUGGACAAGCUACAGCAUGAAUUCCAUCCGUCUUGGAUACUUCCCCUGUGGCUGAGGGCUGUUUUCUCUUCUGCUUUGGGAUGAGUAGAUGGGCUUUCUCCCCACCUCCCUGUCCCUUCUGCUGCUUUUCUAUUUCUCCUUGUUUUCUUCUUGUUACUCAGAGUGUUUGCCAUGGCCCCAGUAUUUGCUGCCCCUUUGGCUACUACGAUUAUCCUCCUCCCAUGCAUGAGUCUGCACCUUGGAGCACUCCUUCCCUUAGCUCACUGUGUGGAGAAGAAGAGCAGAUAUGCUUUCUCCCGUGGCUCUCGUGUAUGACAAUUCCAGCAUGUCUUUUCUGUCUGCUGCCAGGCAGCUGUGCCCCCUCAGUGGCUCUGCACCCCUGAACAGACUCUUGGUGAUGCUCUCACCUGACAUCAGCGCUGGUUUCCUCAGGCACGGAGUACUGUGCCCAGUAUUUUGACCAGCCUGCUUCUCAUCCCAGCAUGGAUCUGCAGGGGUUGGAUUGGAAUUGCACCUACAGCUGCUAGUUAGCAGUGAAACCGAGGUCACCCCACUCUGGAGUAGAAAGUGGAAGCAGACCAUAAGUGCAGCACUGGGUGGUCACAAAGGUGUGAAUGCUGUAGCUGAAAGUCCACAGCAGAAACAUUUUUUUUUGUGCUGCUGGUCAGAAGGCACAGUUAAUGGAAACUCUGUAGAAGAAAUGUGCAAGCAAAGCCAACAGAUUAUUGAUCCUUCUCCCUGAACAAGGCUCCCUCCCAGCCCCAUUGAAUUCCUUACUUACACCAAACACAUCUAUAACAGGACUGGCUACUUCAAGCUGGGCUGCAGCCCUGUCCUACUGCACACAGAGCAGAGGGAAUGCAAAGGACAAGGCCAAACUUUGGCCAAACGAGGCCAAAUGGGAGGUGCCGCAGUUCCUGGCCUUCACACAGUUGGAGGUUCCUCUCUGCUCACUCCCAUACUUCACAGCACCACCAAGCAUGACCUCCUGUGCCCUGACGGUUUGUUUCCGGAUUAUUUGGUGAUAGUUGUUGUUGGCAAUGAAAGAAGGAAAAUGUUUAUUUUUCCUAAGCAACGUGGAACAUGAAACAUUAUAGACUGCAAAUGUUUAUGCCCACAGUCAGAAUGAAAAGGCCCAGGCUCUGAUGUAACAAGAGAAAGCAAAUGAAUAAACACUGGAGGACUAUUUUUGUUAUCAGAUACUUUAAUUACAUGACAGUUUGUGAGUCUGGUCCAUCAUUAGUACUGCAGCCAUGCUGCUGCUGUCACCCAAGCAACAGUUUGCCAGAAGCAGCAGUACUUACAAAGCAAACAAGCCCCAGAAUGCCAGGACAGUGAAAGGUUUCAAGAGUCCUUAGGAUGAUGACCUAGAAAUCCCCUUGAAGACAAGAAACCAAUCUAGGAUGCAGUACUCUCCAGCCAGAGGAGGAAGGGCUGAGAUUUUUUUGUUCAUUGUGUAUUUACAUGCAAGCUGAGGUGAGCGAUGAGCGAAUGGUGCUCAACCCAGGGACAACAGCCAGGACAUCUCCCACUGGUACAGCCACCAGGCACAGUGCAGCCCUCUGCAGAGCUAUGGGGGAUGUUCUGCCCUCAGGGAAUGCACACAGGGAUCUCCAAACCCACCGGACGAGUACUGUCCCCCUGCUUGAUCUGCUGGAGAUAUCCAGUGGGCUUUCUCCCUCCAUGAAUUUUCA